UAUCUAUAUUCAGCAGAAUUCAAAGAAUAAUCCAUACUUAAAUACAACUAAUGUCUGUUUAACAAUACAAUGUAAUUUUAAUUUGAGUCGUGAUUGAAGAAGGGCGCAGUGUAUUUAUUAUUUACUAGUGUAUUUGUGAAAAAAAAAAAAAAUAAAUCAAAACAAAUCCAGCUAUAGCCUCGUGGUCCGCGGAGACGCGUGGCUGGACCGAGAAACAAUAUUAUUAUAUGCCAAGUAAUGAUCUGUAAAAGCUACAUUAUAGCGCUGAAUAUAUUUAUAUUGAAUUGAAGUGAUGAACGUUUGUAAUGCUGGAAGACAGAGCCGAGGAGUGUCAAGUGAAAACUGAUCGACGAAGAAAGAAAAGUAAACAAAAA